ACCAAGGGCAGUUUGGAGGUCAGAAACAAGAUGUAGUCAACGAUGUCAGAUUUCUCUUACUGUCAUAAUUUUGCAGGUGCAGUUCUACCUUUCCAAUACCACAGUUUUUUGCAGGAGUAGAUGGAGUCUUUUUCAUGGUCUACUCCCUGGUGUUAACAACCUUGCUUUUUCCAAUGACUUGAGAGUUCUCCUGCCCAACAAACAGAAGAUAAUUUGCUCUCUGAGGACUCCUCUAACAGAGCAUGAGAAGGAAGCUUUUAUAGCAUGAUUGAAGAAGCAAGGCAAAGAAAAUAUUUGAUUGGUUACAGUGGAGGAGUAGCCUUAUUUGGAUCAUUCCAGUGGAAAGUCCAUUGUCAGAGGUUAGUGGGAAGUUUCUGAUUGGUUAAGUUUAAAUUUUGUUUUCCUAGAAUAUGACCAAUUCCGCUGAGUUGGGUUUUGGUUUGCUCACAUAGAAACCCAGGAC
rnacentral:lncRNA from 1 species